AUAAAUUGGGAAAUUAUGAGAAGGCUAGUAUGCUUCCAGAAGCACGGACUGCUUUUAUGUCGUUUUCGAUAUUGAGAUUUUUUAAAUCGAUGAUAUGUUCUGUUAUAAUUGAUCUAAAAUAUUUGAAAUAUCUAAAAAUUAAAUUUUGUGAUUUUUCAAUAUCAUUUGACUAGUGAUGAAGGAGGUUAAAAAUCAACAGCUGAAAAUAAAAAUCUUACAAUAUGUAAUAAUAUGACAUUAAAAUUUUAAAUCAAAGAUAUUGAUCUUGUUUUAUAUAGUAUAAAAAAUUUUCUAUCAAAACUUUUACGUGAUUUUAAUAUUUCUACACCGUUAAAUUCGCAAACGACUCACCAUGGUUAUUAAAAUUAUUAAUUUUGAGCUCCUUCGAUCACUAGGCAAAUAAUACUGAAAAAUCGUAAAAUUUAUUUUUUAGGUACUUCAAAUACUCUAGAUCAAAUCUAACAGAGCCGAUUGUCAGUUCGAAAAUCCCAAUAUCGAAAACGAUGUGAAAACACAGAGAGUUAUGUGCUUCUAGAAGCAUGCUAGCCCCACGCACAAAUUAUAAGUUUUUCACAAGAACACUAUAAAAUUUCUAAUUUACUAAAUAAUCAUUUUAAAAUUUUAUUCGGCCCACUAAAUUUUUUUUAUGGAUAAAAAUGAGGAGUCAUUCACCAUAUUAAAGUUUUUUUUUAUUUUUUAUAUGAUUGUUAAAAUUGUAUUGACAAAUUGUUAGAAUGGCUUUUUUUGAAUUUAGCCCCCUGGCAAAUUUUUAUUCUAAAAAUAGUCCUGUCAAAAUUUAAUUUGCAAAAAUGAUCCUAGGUCUGCAAUGCAGGCGCCACGUCAGUGCCACGCGGGCGGGACUGGGGGGGGUAAUUAAGUUAAACACAAUGAACCAUUCACCGUGUCUAAACGUAUUUUUUGUAUAUUAAAAAGAGAAAUAGGAAAUUUGUAUUCCUUUUCUUCUUGUUUUCAAAAAUCCGAACCCAAACCCCAAAAUCAAAUUAAAAUCCAAACCCAGAUCCGAACACGACGGAUUUUAAAAAUUCAUACCCAUAUCCAUAUCCGACCAAAAGCUUGAAACCCGAACCUGAGCCCAGUGGGUUUUAAAAAUCUAUACCGUUGGAUGAAAAUAUAAAAAAUAAAAAUUAUUAAAUAUUUUAUAUAUUGUAUAAAUAAAUAAAAAUAAAUAUGUAUAUAUAUAUAUAAUUAUUCGGGUUUGGAUUCGGAUAAUAUUUCAGAAAUCCAUACCUAUUGACAUCCCUACUACAUAUUCCUCUUUUCAAUAUACAAAAAAUACGUACUAAACACGGUGAACCAU
rnacentral:lncRNA from 1 species